rnacentral:rRNA from 1 species
UACGUAGGCAGCAAGCGUUGUUCGGAGUUACUGGGCGUAAAGGGUGUGUAGGCGGUUUUUUAAGUUUGGGGUGAAAUCUCCCGGCUCAACCGGGAGGGUGCGCCGAAUACUGAGUGACUAGAGUGCGGGAGAGGAAAGUGGAAUUCCUGGUGUAGCGGUGAAAUGCGUAGAUAUCAGGAGGAACACCGGUGGUGUAGACGGCUUUCUGGACUGUAACUGACGCUGAGACACGAAAGCGUGGGUAGCAAACAGG